GUGGAAAGACGUCUGUUGACUCUGUUUACGCCGUUCAUGAGAGUGUCAGUUCACGCCGUUCGUGAGUGUUAGUUCACGUUGUUCAUGGUAAAAUUAAUCCUUCGCCUUUUUAUUGGAGAAUCCUCACAACCUGUCAUGUUUACAGGAUGUAAGAACAACCAAAAGUUAAACAAAGCCAAUUCCUCAAGAAGCUAUGCUGUUACACACAUGUGGUGAGUGGUGCUCGUCAGCUACUUAUACGACAAGUUUAAUGCUGGACUUACAAUGCCUCAUCUGACAUGCAUGCUGAUGUGCAUGCACCCCUCACCUCCUGUUACUUAACAUCUCCCCUUUGAUUUGCUCAACUUUCCGUCUACAUAUUUAGGCACAAGUUGUAUUUAUUUGAUGGUAUGGAAUGAAGUAUUUCAUAAUACAGUCUUGAUAUGCCAUCU